GCGGCAGGGGGACGGAGCCAAGAACCAAAAGUCGGUGGUAGAAGAGGCGGUGGAAGAAAAUAACCAUGCCUAAUCCGUGAAACCCGCACAUUGUGCACCUCCACGCCGUGCAUCGUUCACCUGGCGGGCGCAGAGGCCAUUUGAGGGUGAUUCCUCAUUGGCUGGUGUGACCCCCGCAGGCCCGCCUCCUCCCAAGGUGGGCCCUGAUUGGUUGGACCUGCACUGACGGGUAUUAGGGAGUAAAUGGCCACCACUCUCAACUGAAGAGCUAAGCCCUGCUGUUUCCUCCCCCACCUCCCUAACAUCACUGUUCAUUGCUGUAUUGUGAACCGUGAUUCCCUCCAACCGAUUUGCUGUAGAGUACUAUGGCAAUGCAUGAUAUGAGUCGUGCCAAGGGUUUCCCCUGUAAAGAAUGUGAUAUGGUUUGCCCGAGUACUCCAAGUCUUCUAGAACAUAUGAAAGCACAUUAUCAGCAAGAAGAGACCGGACGUUUUGAGUGUGAACAGUGUGGCCGAAUCUACAAGCACGCAGCUAGCCUAGCCAAUCAUAAAAAGUCUCACGAAGUUGGAUCAUUUCAGUGUCCUGUUUGUACACGUACGCUGCCCAACGCGGUGGCGUUAAAGAACCACCUGCGGAUCCAUACUUUGUCCCCCAGUAGUGCCCACGCAGAAGAAGAGAGUGAAGAAGUGCCUGAAGAAGCAGGCCACGACGAGAGGGAGUACGGCCUCGCCCAGGACCUCUCCGACGGGUUUGGCCGCUCCCAUUUGAACAAUAGUGGUAUGGGACAUAGUGUCCUGCAAAGCCACGACACAGACGACCACGGAAAAAAAGGCUCCCCUGAAUCCGACGACGCUUGGGACAGACCUUUCAAGUGCGACCAGUGUGACCGAACCUACCGGCACCACGGUAGCCUGGUGAACCACAAGAAGUGUCACCAACAAGGAACUUUUAAGUGUUCUGUGUGUUUUAAACAAUUCAGCAACCUGGCUGCCCUAAACAGCCACGAGAGAACUCAUUCGAAGUUCAAGACGCCCGGGGCCUCCAUGGUGAGCAGCAGCAGCAGCAGCAGCAGCCUCCAUGACUCGGAGCGCAGCGCUGGCACCCAGUCGUCCCAGAGUGACGACACCGCCUCCUGUUUUUGUCACCUGUGCCAGGUAGCACUGCCAAACAAGGCGGACUUCCAAGAGCACAUCUUGCUGCACAACACGGCCUCGCCCUCCCUUGGUCUGCCGCGCAGCUUCCCAGGCAUUAUGCCUCACAAUCUAAGUGCAGUGCGGUCCCCAGCAUAUACCCCAGCCCUGGGGGACCCUCUGCCCCUGCCACCCCUGCCCACUGAGAAAAGAGGUCCCUAUGACCCCAUAAUGGGCCCUCCAGUCAACAACCCCAUCUACACAUGUGCUUAUUGUGGCGCAGGACACCCAGAUCUGGAGACCUUGAAAGUCCACUAUCUAACCCAUGAUCCCCACCCAGCCUCCCACAGUCAGGACAGCUCCAUCCUCAACUCGGACACUCUAAGUUCUGGAUCACAGGGCUCAGUAUCUUCGCCAUCUGGAGGCCGAGUGCCUCAGGCUAAUUCUCCAGAUGAUGGAGAACGGCGCUUUAAGUGUGGGGAGUGUGGCAAAAGUUACCGGCAUGCAGGAAGUCUGGUCAACCACAAGCGCUGUCAUCAGACUGGCCACUUCCAGUGCACCAUCUGCUGUAAACAGUACCCCCACCUGGCUGCGCUGCACAGCCACCUACGGAGCCACAAAGGGCGUCCCUCCAACCAGCCUAUUAGCAAUGACAGCAAUGACUGGCUGUCACCAGAGCCGCUAACUCUAGACUCCCAGCAGAGCUACGUCCAGGAAGGCAGUGGUGCCACAACUCCAAUCUCACUGCCAGGAAAUCUGGGCGAUGCUGCCCACUUUGUACCAGAUGGGGGCCACAGCAGUGGGUUGGACUCUCUUGAGUUCCACGACCGCUUUGAUGGUAGCUCACUGUCCCAGAGUAGCUCUGCUCACCGACAGGCUGACAGACAUGUGUGUGCUGACUGCGGUGAGAUGUACGGAGAUGUAUCUGGCAUUAAGUCUCACAUGUGUCCCCGCCGUGGCCAGCAGCAACAGCAGCCGCAGCAGCAGGGCAACAUGUCCAAUGGUUUUAUGGGGAACAUGAACUACCACAGCUCGGGUGGAACCUCGCUGCCCGCUGGAAGCUCCAGCAACAUGAAAGAAGGCAGCAGCCAGCGGCAGUACUCCCAGAGUGGAGGCAAGAGAAUGGGGAGCAAUGACAAAGAUGAGGAUGAUGAUGGAGAAGUGUAUCAGUGCUCGGUGUGCGGCAACCACUAUGCCAGCCUCAGAGCCCUCAGGAGCCACCUGCGUAGCCAUGCCAAUAACCCAACAGGGCCAGGACCAUCCAACCUGGAGCAGGACUGGAGGAUGAUCUGCUCCACAUGUGGCCAGAGCUUCUCCAGGAAGCAGGACCUGCUGAAUCACCAGUUAGUCCACGGCCCCCAAAGGUCAGAUGGCCAACAACAGGGUAUUGGAGGCAGUUCAGCCAAUGGCAAUGAGAAGAUGGAUGGCCGCAACCACAUUUGUGUUGACUGUGGUAUGUUUUUCGCUGACCGCCACCAUCUGAUCACUCACUUGUGCCCUGGAAAGAAUCGAGGCAGCUCGCUGAACAAGCCAGGGCUAAAUGGAGCCAAAGGGAUGUCUGGAGGAGAUGGUGUAGGUGGUGGGGUUGCUGGAGGAAGCCGUGAUGUUGGAGGUGAUGGACGUAGGCCGAUGGUUGACCAAAGUGACAAGCCCCACAAGUGCGACCAAUGUGGACGAGGAUACAGACACCCCUGCUCCCUCCUCAACCACAAGAAGUCCCAUAAGACUGGUGUUUUCCGCUGCCUGGUAUGCCAGAAACGCUACUACAAUCUGUUGGCACUUAAGAAUCACCAAAGGACCCACUUUGACCUGAAGAGGCACAAGUGUGAAGAAUGUGGCAAAGCCUUCAAGAUCCAAAAGCAGCUGAUAAACCACCUCCGUCUCCAUGAGGAGCAUCGGGCCAAAGGUCUUGUACGGACUGGCCCAAACGGUUCGCGCUUCCAGCAGCCUGGCCCAUCUCAAAUGCAGACUAUGAGAGGGGAAUCAUCAAAGGGCCAGGUGAUGGGAGUUAAAUACAGCCACCAGGGCUUCAAAAAACCCUACUCUUCGGCUGGUACUUCUAGGCCUCAGAAGUUUGACCCUGCUGAAAGUGGACGGCGGCCGUUUGCCUGUGAGGAAUGUGGGAAGACCUACCGCCAUGCAGGCAGUCUGGCCAACCACAAGAACCUUCACAAAAUUGGGGAGUAUCACUGCAACGUUUGCAAUUCUACGUACCCCAACAGGCUUGCAAUGAAAAACCACCUUCGCCUCCACUUUGCCCAGAAGAAGCACAACUGCCAAGAGUGCGGCAAGGGCUUCCGCACCCAGAGGCAACUAGCUACACACACUACAGCUGGCCUGUGUAAAGGGCCACAAGGCCCUGGAGCUCAGAUGGAUUUUGAGUGCGAUGGCUGCUGUGAAGGCUUUGCCACGGCUGAUGAACUUGCAGCUCAUGACUGCCCAGCCCAGCACCUGCCUUCAUCCUCCUCCACAAACAGCUCCACCAACAUUAGUUUGGAGAGAAGCUCUGUGGAUCUGGACUCUGAUGAGAGACCCUAUGCCUGUGACCUCUGCAGCUGCGCCUACAAACAUGCCAGCUCCCUGCUGAACCACAAGCACACCCACAAGACGGGCAACUUCCGCUGCAACUUCUGCGACAAGCCCUACACCAACUACAUGGCGCUGCGAAACCACAUGCGCAUCCACACGCAACGGAAGAAGCACAUCUGUCACACAUGUGGGAAAGCCUUCCGACUGGCCAGGUUCCUCCGCAACCACCAGAAAGUCCAUGAGGAGGGUGCUACGCCCUUCGGCUGUCCCACCUGUGGGAAGAGUUUCCAGGGGAGGUCUGGUCUGGCCAGGCACCGCUGCGGGGACAACCAGGUAGGCAUGGAAGUCAGGAGGAAGGCCACUGCACCCACGGGAGAGGGCGAAGAGUGUCGGUACACAUGUGAUCAGUGCGGCCGUUCCUACCGCCACGCCAGCUCCCUCCUCAACCACAAGAACACCCACACUGUUGGCAUCUACCACUGCGCCGUGUGCCUCAAGACCUACUCCAACCUGCUCGCCCUAAAGAACCAUCGCCGCAUCCACUCAGAGACGCGGCGCCACCGUUGCCACGACUGUGGGAAGGCCUUCCGUGUUUCCUCUCAACUCUACAACCACCGACGCGUCCACCAAAAGCAGCGGGAGCUGACCUGCCGGUCCUGCCAGCGAGCCUUCCCCACGCAGGCCAGCUUCAGGCUCCACAUGGAGAUCACCCAUGGCCAGGCACCACAGCCCCGCCAGCCCAGACCCCAGCAGCCCCGUCCGGGGGGCUCCCAGGAGCUGGGCUGGGGGUCGGGACUGGACCUUACAUUGAUGCAAGAGCAAGGACUUGACCCCGGCAGCAUGGCCAAAGCUCGCAGCCGAGGGGGCAACAGUGAGGUCAUUAAGUCCCAUGUGUGCGACCAGUGUGGGCGGUCUUACCGCCAUGCCAGCUCCCUGCUCAACCACAAGAACAGCCACAAGACUGGCACCUACUUCUGCAACUCCUGCCAGAAGGAGUUUCCUAACCUAAUGUCCCUCAAGAACCACCGGCGCAUCCACACCGAGCCCAAGCGCUACCAGUGCCCCGACUGCGGGAAGUCCUUUCGGGUGUCCACGCAGCUCAUCUGCCACCGCCGCAUCCACACCAAGGAGAAGCCGUUCUCCUGCCAGCAGUGUGACAAACGCUUCUCCUCCAAGUCCAACCUGCGGCACCACAUGAAGGUGCACUGGAGCGGCUCGACGGCGCCCCCUCCCAUGGCAAUGGGUGCGCCCAACUUCCUGGGUAUGCCCGGCGGCCCCUUCAUAUAAGCUGUGGGUGAGGGUGGGGGGAGGGGGGGAGAGUCACAUGCCAAGGUUUCUGGAGGUGCCAAAUCGUAGCUUAGCCUUCCUCCUCUUUGUGGUUGUCCAUGUGUGGCUGUGGUGUGUGUGGAGGACGGCUGCAUGACGACAGACUCUGACCACAAUAUGGACGCUGCACACACACACAGAGGACUCAAAAUGGAGGACGCACACACACACUCCCUCGCUCGCCGACGUUCCCACGAGGCACGGUGGAGUCCGGCUGCCCCACACACUGACUGACAGGCAGACUGGACUGUAGACUGAUGGACUUCACUGCACCUGCCUUACACCUGCUGCAUGUUGUACAGCCGGACUCCUCCUCGCUGGGCCCCACACAGUUGCAGAGACUGAGCUGAUCCAGACUGGUUCUUUGAGCCCAGCUCGUAGAGACUCGCGAUGGCGACUGUUGGGGCUCUGCUUGUUUUCGUUUCAGCCCCGGGAGCUGAUUGGUGGGCUGCUGCAAGUGGUUUCUCUGUGUCCCGCCUCCAUCCUGUCUCUGACGGUGUUUUCAGGAGUUCUGUGUGGAUGAAAUGUUCUCGUGGCCUUUGUCACAGUGUUUUUAAACCACAUUCACACAAACUGUUUUUAUCACCAACAUAUAGAGAGUCAGGGCAAUUUGUUUUUUGUACCUUCAUGUUUUGGCAGGAGGCAGCAAAGACUUGUGGGAACUUUUAGGACUGAAGACUUUGGUGUCUGAGGGUCUGCUUUAAAUGUGUGUGUCUGUGUGUGUGUGUGUGUGUGUGUGCGCGCGAGCGUGUGUGUUGCAGCACAUUCAUACUCUCGUAGCUUCCUGACUCCUUGUUCUCACAUGUGGACUCUGAGCUGCGACGCGGACCGAACUGCCAUUUUCUUUUUUUUUUUUUUUGGUGAAGUAUUGAAAUUAAGCAUUUCAAUUUUCUCCUGCAGCUCCUUAAAGUUUGAUUUGAUCAGCUGCUCAAAAAUUACUUGGUGUUUGCAUUCAGUGUUGUUGAAGGUUCCUGUUGUCUCUCCAGUGUUUGUUGUUGAGCUGAAGCAGAGUUUCUACAGUGAAUCCCAACAAGUGACUGUUCAUGCAGAGGUCACGUCUCAUAUGAUUCAAAGCUGGAACCGACCUGUCAGUCAGGAAGGUUUGAAUCUCUUCUUGAACCUUUUAUUUGUUAAAAUGUCCUUUUUUCCACCUUUUUUGUGGAACUAAAGCUGUAAUUUAUUGUUUAGCAAUCGGUGAUGCAGCGAUCAAUCAGCUCUGUGAUGUUCACUAACAAUCCUGACUCACUUUAACUUAAAGUAAAAACAUUAGGUCUGUAUUGAACCAAAGAAAGUGUUGGUGGACUGAAAUCAUAGCUGCUCUUCAACCAAAUGACUGACCACAGAAAUUAUUAAAAGUCAUCUGUUUAUCAGUAGAUUAAGUAAAUGUUGAACAGAGCUUUGAGUGACUACCUGCAGAUUAUCAUUCUGAAUGAAUCAUAAACCUACAUUACCAGCUGGCAUUAGCAGCACAUUGAAUCACUGUACCCUGGUUAGUUUAUGCUGAAAUGACGAGAACAGACUGGGAGUAGAGUAACUGCACUUAUUUAUAGGAUUUUUGAAGAUGUAUGAACUGGGUAUCCAACACAAGGACCAUUGAAGAAUAUAACACAGAUGCUUUAGCUUAGUUUUGGUUGUUGAGCUGCAGUUUGAAAAGUUUACACUCCCCUUUUUGAACAAAAUGCAGAAACAAUCUUUGACAUUAGUUAGUUCAACUCCCAAUAAUUGAUGAAUAAACGUCAAAUAAGUCAGCCCUAAAAGUCUGCGUCGUGUUGGAUCAGUUCAAAGUAGCAAAAACAUGAUCCACUACACCUAAACACAGACUGAGUGAAGGCAACUUGUUGCUGCUGCAGGUUAUAGAACUUGUCCUUCCUGAGUAACCAAAACAUGAAGACAUUGAACGGUAGAUAAACAGAGGUGUCGUCCCUCUAGAGAUGUAUCAUUUGUUGUGAAUCAGCUUGGUUAUGUUAGCCACUUGCCUAUAGGAACAAUGUCCCAUUAAACUACAGCGCAUUUUCAACUUGUUUAAUAUUAACCAUCACAGAAGUCUUUUUCCUCAUGCCUGUUGCUAGCUAAACCCCCACAAUGCUCUCUGCUUUCCAAGAGGUUCCACCUGGUGGAACAACCAGGUACUACAACUAAUCAACAAAACAUUUUCUGACAUGCAUAACCUUCCUUUUCUGCCUUAUCAGUUAAUGUUUUUCGUCGCUUAAAGUAUUGACUAAUAAUUAGUCAUUAGCGUCACGUUUUGCAGAUGUUAUGAUGUUGGAACAUUUCAGUGGGUUCCAUGUUAACACAUGUUAGUAACGUCAGCAGUGAUAGUUUUUCAGGGCUGAUAUUACUAAUUAUUAUUAAUUAAAGAGCAAUAUUUGGAACUGAGAUAUUUUUUCAGUAAAAAUUAAAAUCUUGAUGUAAAAAUUCAUAAUGGCACAAAAUGAAACACAAAACCUACAAUGGUUAACAGAAUACUUUUCAUCAUUUAUCCCUCAGUGCUGAUUGAUGUUUACUGGUUACGAAUCAGGUUCUCGAGGCAGCUGCAUCAGAACCAGUGUUUUUCAGUAAUUUUUAUUGGGAAUGUGUUUAAAAAAAAAGAACGUUAAUCAGAAAAAUGCUGAAUAGUGAAUAAUCGAAGGGUUCAAUAAGAGAUUCGUCGGCUUCAGAUGAAUUUUCAGACGCCUUGUUUCGAAUACUGUAACUGUGAAGGUUUAAAGGUGAAACUGAAUCUUGGAGUUUACAGUCAGAUGUAAAGAGACUUCAGAUAUCCAGCUGUUAUCAGCAGCUUUACGUGAACAGUGUCGAGCUGAUUUCAGGAAAAUAAUCAGCAUCUCGUCAUUUAUCCACGACAGUCUGUACUGAGUCCGACAGUCAUGCAGGAGAAUCGGGCCAUGACAUCCUGCAGGUUCAAGUUUCGGUUCGAGCUUCGGUUCUCAGCGUCCACAUGUGCGAGCAGGAGGCGAUCGGCCCUGAUCUGUCUCUGACUUGACUGAAAAAAGCAAAGAAGGCGUGAGGAGCCGGUGGUGUAUAUUGUCGGGCCUGAGUCCCUGUAUUGUAAUCGUUGUUCUGCAGUUUCAUGAGAAGGAAAAAAGACGACAGAUCCUGUAGUAAUGCAUUUAUUUAUAUGAUUAUUAUUAUUAUUAUUAUUAACACUUGUAAUGGACAGCGCUAGUCUUUAGGAUGUGUGAGUUUAGAGCUGUGUUGAUGUAAACACCCCCCUCCUCUACCCACAAUGCCCUGCUCUGUGGAGCUGACGGACUCACCACACUCUGCUGUGUUGAACAGUGGAAACUUCUUGCCUUCUUUUAUCAAGUGAUGUUGUGACCGAGCCUUCCCAUCAUCCCUCUCUUCUUCCAUAUUUAUCUUCUCGCCGAGUUUGACUGAACCCCUCCCCCCACGGUCCUCAUCACCUUUUUUAUGUUCCACGUUAUGGUAACCUCUUGUAUUUAUUGGUGUUCUUUUCCUUCUUUUAUUUAAUUUGGACUGUUGGAGUUUCAAACAGCGUCUGUCAGCGUUUUCAGGAGCACUGGUGCUAGUUUAAAAAAGAUAAAAAGUGAAAGCCGUGCAGUGACCGUCAAGUGCUGUAGGAGUCCAUGUGAUCUAGAACACAGAAUAAUAACUGUACAUUCUCUAUUUUUAUUUUGCCAUUCUCUCCCUCCACCACGGUUGGUUCUCUCUGUUUGGACACUUUCCCGCCUGCAUUUCAAGUAGCUUUUAGAAACGAAGAAGAAGAAGAAGAAGAUUGGUUUGGAACAACUAUAACCCCCUUUUUUGUUUGAAGUUCUAACUUUUUGUUUCCAUGCAUAUAUAUGUAAUGCUUACUAUACACUUUUAUAAACUAUGUUUUGAUAAUUCAUUUCUUAACAGAAAAACUUGUCCAUAUACUAUAACCCUUACUGCUGAGUACUGAAAAUAAAUAGCUGAAAAAACACA